rnacentral:tRNA from 1 species
UCCCUGGUGGCUCAGUGGUAAAGAACCUGCCUGCAAAGUAGGAGACCCAGGUUCAAUCCCUGGGUUGGGGA